AUACAAAAGUCGGUAUCGAAUCUGACGCGCGCGCUCGCAACCGAUUACAACAUUCUCCCCAGACAAUUCCCCAUUUUGCUCGGUGAUUGAACCAUCAUGAAAAUACAUUCAGAGAUACCUGGGGGCUGGAUUUCUCCAACUAAAGGCCCCGGCCGUUUCAACGGCUCGCUGACCGCAUCGUUUGACAGCGCGCGCGUCAACGACCGCGCGGUCUGCUACGCUCCGCGGCCGAAGACAAAAAGGCGUCGAGGUGUCGAACAGAAAGCUCUCGCGGCGAGCGCGCCGCGCGAUGUGUGCGCGCCUUCGCUUCCGCUUUAAUUAUGACUAUUCAGUAGUGCUCCGUGACUCGCACGUGGAUAGCACGCGUCGCGCUGCGUCACGUCGCGUCGCGUUGCGUAGCGUUCCGCCGAGUGGAGCGCGUCGUCGCGACACGCCGGACACGGAGCGGCAAUAAAAGUUCGCGCCAUCCCCCGCGCGCUGGCUCGCUCGCUCGCUCGUUCGCGAUUAAAAAGUGCAAAAUAUAAAUACACCGCGGCGUAUUCCGCCGAGCGAAGCUUGCGCGCGCGCGCGCCGGGCUACUUUUUUACAAAAACCGUCGGGCGUCGCGCGACGACGCACUCCCGCGCGCAGCGUCGCGUUGUGCGUUCCUUUUUCCUUAUUUUUUUGUCCGAACGAGUUUACAUUCGGGCGACACGCGGGCGCGACGCGACGCGACGCGGCCGGUUUUAAAUAUGCAAGUCGCGCGACGCUGGGCGGCGUCACUUCCGGUCGCGCGUUCCGUGUGCGCGCGCGCGCGCGUAUGCUCGCGUAUGACGCCGUGUGCGCGCCAUUAUUGUACAUUCGCGAAUUAAGCCGGCGCGCGCGUUGGAGAAUUGAAGAGAUCCGCGAGACAAAGAUACGUAGACGCGUUUCGCUUACGAACGAGCUCGCAACCGAGUCGUCACGAAGGGAGAGAGGGAGAGGGAGAGAGACAAUGUCGCGGGCUUGCCGAAAAUUCGGGAGCGUAGCUUCGUACAAGGUCGGCUUCUUUCGUUCAAUCAUGCUCUACCUGCGGACAUGAACGAAAAAAUAGCCACAUGCUCAGAUGGGUCAGAAUAUUUCGAGCGCUUUUUAAAAAAGAUUUGGAGAACAAUUGGCGGACACGCACGAGGGAUGCACUUCCGACGGAUGCAGAUGCAGCACCGGAGGACCCGGUUCGAGCUGAGCGGGGUCGGUUGGAAGGUUUCACCGACUACCUCUAUAUUCCUCUGUUUAACUCCUUCCCCCUCCCCCUCCUCCUCUCUCCUCCUCCUCCUCCUCCUCCGUUCUGCCGUGCGGACGAAAGACGAGGACGAAGCCGUCAGCACGAGACUCGAAUUACGACCGUAAAGGGCUAAUUUAGCGAUCCGGCCGUGGCCGAGCCUGAAGCUACUUCACCGGGUGGAGCAUAAUUAUGAGGGGAUAAUUUGCCGUAUAAUUAUAAUAAAGAGAGAAAUCUGACGCACACACAGAGAAGUCGCGUACGUGAAUAAAGAAUAAAAGAUAACUCGAUGUCUUACCGAUCAUCGUACUUGAGACUUGUCAUUGUUAUUGACGUUGUUAUUAUUAAUGUAUACCACUACUUCGCUCGACGACUUAGUUCUCUCACAAUGGUACGAGUACCGUCGAAUGAAAUAUGACCUUUUAAUUCUGCAAGAUACGUCGGCGGGAACCGAAAAUUGCUCGCCGCCGCACGUGACACUCGCGGUAAUCUCGUUCGUGUUAAUCGAUUUUCCGAUCGUCGGCAGUCUUCUCCAGUUUUCUCACUCACGGAGAAACAAAGAGAUUUCGCGACAGAGCCGCGAUUGUUCGUUGCUCGCGCGUAUAAUUGUUCGCGAUACGGAACUCGAAUCAUAUUCUUCUGUCGCAUUUCGGGAAAUUGCGACACUUUUAAAACUUUUAAAUGACUUUUCAACAAUCCUCACUUUACGACCGCAUCUUUGCAUUCUGUGUAAAUAAAUCGAUACUUGCAACACCGACGAGAGAGAACCGAUCGACGAGAGAGAAUAUCGGAAAGAUACUUUUAGUUCGCUCACACAAUCUAUAAUCAUCCAAUUGUUUCGACAAUCAUAUGAUUGAUUUUACAUACGCAAAACAUCUCAUUUUCUCGCCAGAGAAUAAGUAAUAAAAACAAUCGACGAUGUUGCAAAGAGAUAUCGAUACUAUAUUAUAUCGCGAUAACAAAGUAUCACGUGUAAAACAGCAGCGGAUCGUAUUGUAAUUAUCGAAUUAUGCAUAAAAACAACGCAAAAGAGUGGAAUUAUAAGACGCGGAUUAUUUUAUAAAUCUUCGCGUAAUGCGCACGCAGACACGCACAUUGUAAAUGAUCGCGCGACAAUUUUCUAUGAAAUCUGCUUCGUUCGUCGUACUUCUCUCGGUAUAGGUUCGACAAUUGCGGCGAUAUUUCGGUAGCCACGACUCGCGGCGAGCCGAUUAUAACCCGUUUGUUAUGUUUACACAUUCCCGUCGCGAUUACGUCG